GGGCACACAAGCAGCGUUAGAGCUCAUUCAAAUCAUCCUUGGGUGUCCUUCAAGUUACGUGUAGCCAAAUUCUUUGUUAUUUUUUUUUCUCUGGAGACCGUGCUUGGACAUCAGGUGCCUCUGCUGCCAGCUCCGGAGAGGGCCGGAGGGCCCGGCCAGCAGCACGGGCUGCGGUGCGGCUCUCCCCCGAGUCGUUCUGGAGAGCAAGAGAUCCCCCUUCCUCCCUGCAGCACCCGGAGCACUCGAGCUGCCGCGCGAGGCAGGGCCGCAGCGGGCAGGAAGCAGCUUCACGCCGCGUGUGGAGGCCUCUGCGACUGCUGUGCCCGACCACAACUGGCUUACGGCUAUUUUCUCCUCACUUACACGGAAGAGCCUGACAUCCAGGGCAGCCAGCCUGGUCAGGACGGCAGCACCGUGGGGUUUCUGAACCCGAUUAACGAGCACCUCCAGGACCUGCAGCAUUCAUCUGCUGAGCCUACCAGCCCUGACAAUGCAUUAUUAAUGCCGGAAACUGCUUUGUGCUACGCGCCUGAAACCACUCUGACCUGUGAUUACAGCCGGUGGAAAAACAGCCAGCUCUCGCUGCCGGAGAGACAACUCCCUCCUGUAACGUGAAGUCACAGGGCGAGCCGAGCAGCAAGGCAAAGCAACCUGGCAGGAAAGGGGGCCUUUGUCCUUUGCUGCUCUUUGAUCUCCCUGCAAUCCAGGUGAAGGAAUUUGCUUACAUCCAUAUAGGGCUUUUUAUUUAUUUUAUAGCAGAUCAUUUUUGUUAUUUAAACAAUAACCAAGGGCUUUACUCUCUGCGUGGCUGGCAACCACACCUGCAUGUGCCCAUCCUCGCAGUGAUGUAAGAAAUGCCGUUUGGGCUGUACACUUGUGGUUCCCACAGUCCAAAACCACAUUUCGGAGUCAUUUCCCUCCCUGCCACAACCCCUGGGUUUCUGCUCCGCCGAGGGCUUGGCAGGGCCCCAGGCCCCAGGCUGGGAGCUGCAGGCGCUGCCGCUGUGCGCAGCUCCCGCGUUGUGCCGGGUGGGCGGCCCCAGGAGCAGGGAGCUGAGCUGCGCACGCACGGUGACCCCGGAGGUUUCACGGGCGGACAAAGCUGUUUUUACUCUAGAAAAAAAUCCAAGUUGGUUCUCAGAGGCUGAGAAAAGCCGUCCAUAAAAGUUCCUGUUUUAUCUGAACUUUUGGCCAUUCACACCAGAGCCUUUGUUUACAUUUAAUAACCUUUUUAUUUAUAAAUGCUCUUUCCUCCACAGUUUGCCGCUCUGGAGAAACAGAUGCUCUGCACAAAUAGCUUUGCAAACAGUGCCAUAUCUGCUUGGCUAAGUUAUCUCCCUGACCCCGGACACAUGUCUGCUCAAUAACUGAUGACUCUUUCUCCUCCUGGAAUGCUGCUCAGAUUCCUCGGGUGCACGGAAGGCAGGAAAGCGGCCGGCGCUCUGAAUUUUAAUUGGAGCUGAUAGAUAAGGGAACCAGAGGGAGCGCGAGGGCGAGGUCCAGCAGGAAGCACUCCUCUGUGCUGCUCGCUGCUGCUUUCUCUGCGGCCGCCCAGGGGCUGGACGGGGCCCUCGCGGCGCUGCUGCUCCUCGCUCAGGUGCAGCCGUGCCGGGGCUGCAGCCCUGCCCUCGCUGCCGCCGCUCCCCAGGGACCUGCAGGGAGGCGUGGGGAAAAUCCCGACAGCCUGCUGCAGGCCCGUGGCAGCUCCGCCUCAGAGACCUGUUACAUUUGAUGAUUAAAAUCGGAGCUGGUCAAAAACUCGGUAUUUCUGUUCCAUGGGAAAUUGUGACAUAUUUUGAAAUGAGCUGUGAAUUUCCAGCAUUCAGAUUUGCUAUUCAGUAGGUUGAGUCAAAAUAUUAAUUUUUUCACAUUGAAUGGUGUUAAAACAAAAAAUGCUAGAACAUGGCAGCAUUUCAAGAUGUUGACAACAUUUCAUGCCAAAAUGUUCCUGUAAAUAGGGAAGACUAGACAAAGUAUGCCAUAUUACUCCAUAAAAGUAACCUAGGAUCAUCAGCAAAACCAACAGGAAAUAAAAGCCCUCCCAUCCACCA
rnacentral:lncRNA from 1 species